rnacentral:ncRNA from 1 species
CCCUCGGAGUAUUGUAUCAUACGAAAGUAGUGUAUUCUUAGGAACGACAAAAUCAGACACGUUGAACAGGGAA